AACGAAGGGGUACUGGCAGGCCUGCUGAACCAUGGGAAAUAAAUGAAGAGGAAGAGGAGCAAGGAGAGGAUCCUGCCUUGGACAGUUUAAGUGCUGCAAUUAGUUACGAGUAUGAUUUGAGAGAAAAGGGUGAGAGUAGCUCUUAUGAACCAGCUACAAAGAAAUUAAAGGU